rnacentral:rRNA from 1 species
UACGGAGGGUGCGAGCGUUGUCCGGAAUCACUGGGCGUAAAGGGCGCGUAGGCGGCGCGGAGAGUCGGCGGUGAAAGCCCGGAGCUCAACUCCGGGUCGGCCGUCGAUACUUCCGGGCUUGAGCACUGUAGAGGCAGAUGGAAUUCCGGGUGUAGCGGUGGAAUGCGUAGAGAUCCGGAAGAACACCGGUGGCGAAGGCGGUCUGCUGGGCAGUUGCUGACGCUGAUGCGCGACAGCGUGGGGAGCAAACAGG